CUCGGAGUUUGAUCCUGGCUCAGGACGAACGCUGGCGGCGUGCUUUACACAUGCAAGUCGAACGGUAGAGGGGGCAACCCCUUGAGAGUGGCGAACGGGUGAGUAAUAUAUCGGAACGUGCCCAGUCGUGGGGGAUAACGUAGCGAAAGUUACGCUAAUACCGCAUACGAUCUAAGGAUGAAAGCGGGGGACUCGCAAGAGCCUCGCGCGAUUGGAGCGGCCGAUAUCAGAUUAGGUAGUUGGUGGGGUAAAGGCUCACCAAGCCAACGAUCUGUAGCUGGUCUGAGAGGACGACCAGCCACACUGGUACUGAGACACGGACCAGACUCCUACGGGAGGCAGCAGUGAGGAAUAUUGGACAAUGGGGCGCAAGCCUGAUCCCAGCCCAUGCCGCGUGAAAGGAUGACGGUCCUAUGGAUUGUAAACUGCUUUGU
rnacentral:rRNA from 1 species